rnacentral:rRNA from 1 species
CCCUUAGAUGUUCUGGGCCGCACGCGCGCUACAAUGGCAGACUCAGCGAGUUACCUCUGUCGAAAGGCACAGGGAAUCUUUACAGUAUCUGCCGUGAUGGGGAUAGACCCUUGUAAUUUUUGGUCUUCAACGAGGAAUUCCUAGUAAACGCAAGUCAUUAACUUGCAUUGAUUACGUCCCUGCCCUUUGUACACACCGCCCGUCGCACCUACCGAUUGAAUGGUCCGGUGAAGUCCUCGGACCCAGUUGAACCCCGAGUUGAACAGGGAAAGUUGACUAAAUCUUACCAUUUAGAGGAAGGUGAAGUCGUAACA